rnacentral:misc_RNA from 1 species
GAUGAAGAACGUAGCGAAAUGCGAUACUUGGUGUGAAUUGCAGAAUUCAGUGAAUCAUCGAAUCUUUGAACGCACAUUGCGCCCGCCAGUAUUCUGGCGAGCAUGCCUGUUCGAGCGUCAUUUCAACCAUCAAGCCCCAGGCUUGUGUUGGAGCCCUGCGGCUGCCGCAGCCUCCCAAAACCAGUGGCGGGCUCGCUAUCACACCGAGUGCAGUAGUUUACUCUUCGCUCAGGGCGUGUGGCGGGUGCUAGCCGUGAAACCCCCAACUUCUCAAGGUUGACCUCGGAUCAGGUAGGAAUACCCGCUGAACUUAAGCAUAUCAAUAAGCGGAGGA